UACAGAGGGGGCAAGCGUUGUUCGGAAUUACUGGGCGUAAAGGGCGCGUAGGCGGCCUUCUAAGUCGAACGUGAAAUCCCCGGGCUCAACCCGGGAACUGCGUCCGAUACUGGUGGGCUCGAAUCCGGGAGAGGGAUGUGGAAUUCCAGGUGUAGCGGUGAAAUGCGUAGAUAUCGGGAGGAACACCAGUGGCGAAAGCGCCUUGCUGGACCACUACUGACGCUAAGGAACGAAAGCCAGGGGAGCGAAAGGG
rnacentral:rRNA from 1 species